CUACGUGAUGGGGAUAGAACAUUGCAAUUAUUGUUCUUCAACGAGGAAAUGCCCUAGUAAGCGCGAGUCAUCAUCUCGCGUUGAUUACGUCCCUGCCCUUUGUACACACCGCCCGUCGCUCCUACCGAUUGAACGUGCUGGUGAAGCGUUAGGACUGGAACUUUGGGCCGGUCUCCUGCCCAUCGUUUCGGGAAUUUCGUUGAACCCUCCCGUUUAGAGGAAGGAGAAGUCGUAACAAGGUCUCCGUAGGUGAACCUGCGGAGGGAUCAUUGAAACCGAUCAAUCCACUCACAGAGCACCAGCGGGGUUCGCCCCGCCGUAGUUUUGGAUCCGCCGGUCCUCGCGGGCCGGUUGGAGCCUCCAACCCAGCAAACCCUCUGCCCUGAAGCAGCUUCGCACGGGGACACCCCCUGCGACGUUAACCAGAGACAACUCUCAACAACGGAUAUCUAGGCUCUCGCAACGAUGAAGAACGCAGCGAAAUGCGAUACGUAGUGUGAAUUGCAGAAUUCCGUGAGUCAUCGAAUCUUUGAACGCACAUUGCCGGUCGACUCUUCGGAGGAGACCACAUCUGCCUCAGCGUCGGAAUACCCCCUCACCCGUGCGGACAUGCGUGUCCGCGCAGUGGAGCUGGCCCCCCCGGGCGCGACCUCGUCGCCCGGGCCGGCUGAAAUGCAGAGGCUCGCGCGCGGCCCACUCGUGGCCCCGACUAGGUAGGUAGCUCGCUACUGCUAGGCGGCGGCUCGGCGCUCGCGUGCUGUGGGGCCCGACAGGAUAACCCCUCAUUCAUUCGACCUGAGUUCAGGUGAGGCUACCCGCUGAACUAGAUAU
rnacentral:rRNA from 1 species